GUAUGGGUUUGGAUUUAUGGCAGGCCUGUCCCCGUAGGCCUCUCAUAAUCUCCCAUGCCAGAGCAAAUUGUGACCCUGAACCAUUGCCUGGCCUCUCUACGUGGGCUGCUGUCACUGAAACAAGGUACACAGCA
ensembl:snoRNA small nucleolar RNA, H/ACA box 80C